GACGAACGCUGGCGGCGUGCUUAACACAUGCAAGUCGAACGGAGUGGCGAACGGGCGAGUAACACGUGGGUGACCUGCCCUGCACUUCGGGAUAAGCCUGGGAAACUGGGUCUAAUACCGGAUAGUGUGGGAUGGGCCCGCGGCCUAUCAGCUUGUUGGUGGGGUAAUGGCAUACCAAGGCGGCGACGGGUAGCCGGCCUGAGUGGGUGGACGGCCACAAUGCGCCUGCGGCAGGGCCCAGAGGGCUACAGGGCGCAACAGGGGCAAGUCUUGUACAAUGGGGGGAAGUGUGAUGCAGCGACGCCGCGGGGGUGAAGACGGCCUUCGGGGUAGAAACGCGUUUCAGCAUCGACGCGGUAGAUGGAGAAGAAGCACCGGCUAACUACGUGCCAGCAGCCGCGGUAAUUC
rnacentral:rRNA from 1 species